CCUACGGGAGGCAGCAGUGGGGGAUAUUGCACAAUGGGGGGAACCCUGAUGCAGCGACGCCGCGUGGGUGAAGAAGCGCCUCGGCGCGUAAAGCCCUGUCAGCAGGGAAGAAAAUGACGGUACCUGAAGAAGAAGCCCCGGCUAACUACGUGCCAGCAGCCGCGGUAAUACGUAGGGGGCAAGCGUUAUCCGGAUUUACUGGGUGUAAAGGGGGCGCAGACGGCGAUGCAAGCCAGGGGUGAAAGCCCGGGGCCCAACCCCGGGACGGUGGUUGGAACUGGGUGGCUGGAGUGCAGGAGGGGCAGGCGGAAGGCGGGGUGUAGCGGGGAGAUGCGGAGAUAUGAGGAGGAACACCGGGGGCGAAGGCGGCCGGUUGGACGGCAACUGACGUGGAGGCCGGAAGGGGUGGGGAGCAAACAGGAUUAGAUACCCCGGUAGUC
rnacentral:rRNA from 1 species